CUUCCCUAUCCCGACUCCCACCGCAGGGCCAGCGGCGGCGGCGAACCCUAGCCUGGCUAGUGGUUAGCGAGCAAGCGACAGUGGGGUAGAGGGCAGCGGGCAGCGGCGCUGCAGCCUAGUGGCGCGGCAGUUGGGCGCCAGGCGGGCGAGCCGGGGGUAGGGGCGCGGGGCGACACCGCGCCAGGCGGCCCAACAGCUGCGUAGGCAGGUGGCACACCGGCGGCCCAUGGUUCCCUUCCUCAGUUCUUCGGCUGUUCCUUUCCUCUCUAGACUCCGCGAUUCUAAAAAGAGAAAGAUGAACAGUGUGCAAUUUGGAUUGGCGAUUGCUUAUUAUUUUAUGACAAUUCUAGAGCAAUGAAAGCCAAAUGCAGUUGGUGGUAUUCCAAGAAUAGAGUUGAGUUCAGAGGUUGCAAAUAAUUUCAGAUGUUGAAUUUUGUUCUCUUUAAAUAAUUUCUGCUCCUGUAGGUUGAUUUCACCCGUGGUUGCUGAAAUUACUUGCUUUGUUCAAACACAAAGAUAUGAGUUUUAUUAUUUACAAAUGUGCACCACUAAGAAAAGAAAUUUUGCAUAUAUUCAGCUAGUACUAGAAGGCAAUUGAAUACUGACUUGCUUAAGUAGCUGGAGGAAAUUGUGAAAAUAUCUGUGCUAGAUGUGAAAUCAUGCCUUAAAUAUUAAGUGUCUGAAUUCAGUAUCUGACUUCUUUUCCAUCCGAAGCAUCAUGCCUGUUCACAAUGUUUCCUUGUGAUAGCCAAAACAAACGUAGUUUGCUAUUAACUUUCUAACUAUAUACAGAUGCUUGUAGCUGUGUUUUUUUUUUAUGAUUGACCUGCUAUACUACAUAUCUAUUUAUAUCAAGACUUGAUAGUAUCAGCCUGCCUGAAUAGUAUUAGGUCAGUUCAAACACAAUGAUAGCAUGAGCUUGAACUAGCUGUUUGUUCUUAUGAAUCUGAAUUUAGUAUAUGACUUCUUUUCGGUCUGAAGCAUCAUACCUGAAUCAUUUUAUGGGAAGCAUCAGCUAUAAUCUGUGUAGAGUAAUAAUAAACAUUCAGCUCCUUGCAACUCAGACAACAAGUUGUUUCUCUUGCCAGAAAAAGGUGUUUCCCUAUGUGCAGAUCAAGAGAGAGUUGACUUCUCAGAAGCUCAAGUGGCUCCUAAAGGUAACAAUUAACAUUGGAUACCUUUGUGUGCAUUUGCUAAUCAUGAGAAAUGCUGGAUUAUGUGAUUACUUGCAGGAAGGUAUGCUUGAGGCCAUCUCAAUUUAGGCAUUGGCUCAGGCUGUGGUGCUCUUUGCAGGGAUGGUUAUGGGACAUAUCUUGGCUCUUGGACUUCUGGAUCAAACUAUCAGAUGAUCCAGCAAGUAGUAUUCACCAACAUGGCUCAAAGUGAAAAGUGUGAGGUUUAGUUCUUGUAUAAUGCCAUUAGGUUCAGCUUAUGUACUAAUUCAGAUAAGUGGCGUUAGGAACCGUUGAAACAAGGUAGUAGAUUAGAUUAGGCACUGUGAUGUAUGUAUGAGCACAGAUGUAUGAUGUACAUAUGGCCUAUUUUUUUUUUCAAUUUUUAUCAUCUAUUUUUCUU